rnacentral:lncRNA from 1 species
CCAGUUGGCACUCUGUAUCUAGCUCAAGGUUUGUAAACACACCAAACAGCACCCUGUGUCUAGCUCAGGGUUUGUGAAUGCACCAAUUGACACUCUGUAUCUAGCUACUCUGGUGGGGCCUUGGAGAACCUUUGUGUCCACACACAGUAUCUAGCUAAUCUGGUGGGGCCUUGGAGAACCUUUGUGUCCACACACAGUAUCUAGCUAAUCUGGUGGGGAUGUGGAGAACCUUUGUGUCUAGCUCAGGGAUCGUAAAUGCACCAACCAGUGCCCUGUCAAAACAGACCACUAGGCUCUACCAAUCAGCAGGAUGUGGGUGGGGCCAGAUAAGAGAAUAAAAGCAGGCUGCCCGAGCCAGCAGUGGCAACUGGCUCAGGUCCCCUUCCACACUGUGGAAGCUUUGUUCUUUCGCUCUUUGCAAUAAAUCUUGCUACUGCUCACUCUUUGGGUCCACGCUGUUUUAUGAGCUGUAACACUCACCGCGAAGGUCUGCAGCUUCACUCCUGAAGCCAGCGAGACCACGAACCCGCCAGAAGGAAAGAAACUCCGAACACACCCGAACAUCAGAAGGAACAAACUCCAGACGCGCCACCUUAAGAGCUGUAACACUCACCGCAAGGGUCCACGGCUUCAUUCUUGAAGUCAGUGAGACCAAGAACCCACCAAUUCUGGACACAAUAGUACAUGUCACACCAAUGCCAAUUCCAGACUAACAUCCUGAAGCUCCAGUUUUGAGGGGUGCAAGCUGCAAGACUGAUAUCAACAUCCACCAAAUACCACUGAUGAGUGGCAAGUAUUAAAAAAACACAGAAAAUCCCACAGCAUGUUGUGGGUUGAAUUAUGCUUCUUCCCUCCCCAGAAGAGGGCUUUCAGAACUAAGGCUGCACACCUAUGACCAUCUGAUCUUCAACAAAGCUGACAAAAACAAGCAACGGGGAAAGGACUUCCUAAUCAAUAAAUGGUGCUGGGAUAACUGGCUAGCCAUGUGCAGAAGAUUGAAGCUGAACCCCUUCCUUGCGCUAUAUAUGAAAAUCAGCUCAAGAUAGAUUAAAGAGUUAAAUGUGAAAUCCAAAACUAUAAAAACCCUGGAAGACAACCUAGGCAAUACCAUCCUGGACACAGGAACAGGCAAACAUUUCAUGACAAAUACACCAAAAGAAAUUGCAACAAAAGCAAAAAUUGACAAAUGGGAUCUAAUUCAACUUAAGAGCUUCUGCACAGCAAAAGAAACUAUCAGAGUAAAGAGUCAAUCUACAGAAUGGGAGAAAAUUUUUACAAACUACGCAUCAGAAAAAAGUCUAAUAUCCAGCAUCUAUAAGGAAUUAAACAAAUUUACAAGAGAAAAAUAAAUAUCCCCAUUACAAAGUGGGCAAAGUUCAUGAACAGACACUUCUCAAAAGAAGACAUACAUGUGGUCAACAAGCAUCUGAAAAAAUCCAAUAUCACUGAUCAUUAGAGAAAUGCAAAUCAAAACCACAAUGAGAUACCAUCUGACACCAGUCAGAAUGGCUAUUAUAAAAAGUUAAACAAACAAACAAAAAACAACCCAACAGAUGCUUGUGAGGUUGCAGAGAAAUGGGAACACUUAUACACUGUUGGUGGGAGUGUAAAUUAGUUCAGUCAUCGUGGAAAGCAGUAUGGCAAUUCCUCAAAGAACUAAAAACAGAACUACCAUUCAACCCAGCAAUCCCAUUACUGGGUACAUACCCAAAGGAGUAUAAAUCAUUCUACCAUAAAGACACAUACACAUGUAUGUUCACUGCAGCACUAUUCACAAUAGCAAAGACAUGCAAUCAACUUAAAUGCCCAUCAAUGACAGACUGGAUAAGGAAAAUGUGGCACAUAUACACCAUGGAAUAUGAUGCAGCCGUAAAAAAGAACAAGACCAUGUCUUUUAUGGGAACAUGAGUGGAGAUGGAGGCUAUUAGCCUUAGCAAACUAACAAAGGAACAGAAAACCAAAUACCACAUGUUCUCACUUAUAGGUGGAAGCUAAAUGAUGAGAACUCAUGAACACGAGGAAGGGAAAAACAGACACUGGGGUCUACUGGAGGGUGGAGGGUAGGAGAAGGGAGAGGAGCAGAAAGAUAACUAUUGGGUACUGGGCUUAAUAACUGGGUAAUGAAAUAAUCUGUACAACAAACCCCUGUGACAGAAGUUUACCUGUAUAACAAACCUUCACAUGUACUCUUGAACCUAAAAUAAAAGUUAAAAAUGAACACAAAAUUGUUCUUUCCAUCAAAAAGUAGGGCUUUUAGAAAUGCAUAAUAUAAUGAAGUUUUUAAUCAAAUAUGUCAAUAACAACAUCAAUAUGCAUAUCCUGUUGAAUUAUAA